rnacentral:tRNA from 1 species
UCCCUGGUGGUCUGACAGUUAGGACUCCAUGCUUUCACUAUGGAGGGCCUGGGUUCGAUCCCUGGUUGGGAAA